UAUGCAACCUUUUCAAGAAGCAAUCUUUUUAUUGUUGCAAGUUAGAGCAUAAGUGGAUAUUGAUUCAAAUUGUGACUGAGGGGGAAAAAGGUAUCAGUCAUAGCUUGACGGUUUUAGUUGCGGCGGCAUCGUGGCAGCAGUUGACUUUCUACCACUUUUACACUCUUUUCUGGAGACCAGAAAGACAAUAACAAUAGGAUUAUAUAGAUGAUGAAGGCCAGGAGAAGUACAUGGAGAAGAGACAAGCAAGAAAGGCACAAAGGAGAGAGAGAGACCUGAAACAUAAAGGCAAAACAGACACACAGAUGAAGAAAAACAGGGGUACAGACAAAGAAAUGGAGGACAGGGACAAAGAGAAGUAGUGAAAGAUAAUAAGAGACAAGACGGAUGGACAACGCCAACUUCUGCCAGUGAGCCCUUGCUGAACAAGUCUGGGUUCCAUACCUCUGCACACCACCUUUCUGUGAAGACUUUGGAGAAGCCAGCAACAAGUAGGACUUUCUUUCUCAUAUGAUUAUGAUGGACAUUUGGAGAUUAAGGACUUUUCAGUAACGC